GCUCGCAUGCAAAGAUGUAUCUUUGUAUGCGGACUUUCUAAUAAGCCCGCAUGCAAAGAUCUAUCUUUGCAUGCGGGC
rnacentral:pre_miRNA from 1 species